rnacentral:rRNA from 1 species
GACGAACGCUGGCGGCGUGCUUAACACAUGCAAGUCGAACGGUAAGGCCCUUCGGGGUACACGAGUGGCGAACGGGUGAGUAACACGUGGGUGAUCUGCCCUGCACUUCGGGAUAAGCCUGGGAAACCGGGUCUAAUACCGGAUAGGACCACUGCCUGCAUGGGUGGUGGUGGAAAGCUUUUGCGGUGUGGGAUGGGCCCGCGGCCUAUCAGCUUGUUGGUGGGGUGAUGGCCUACCAAGGCGACGACGGGUAGCCGGCCUGAGAGGGUGACCGGCCACACUGGGACUGCGAUACGGCCCAGACUCCUACGGGAGGCAGCAGUGGGGAAUAUUGCACAAUGGGCGCAAGCCUGAUGCAGCGACGCCGCGUGAGGGAUGACGGCCUUCGGGUUGUAAACCUCUUUCAGCACCGACGAAGCGCAAGUGACGGUAGGUGCAGAAGAAGGACCGGCCAACUACGUGCCAGCCGCCGCGGUAACAC